AGUGGCGCACGGGUGAGUAACGCGUAGAUAACGUUCCCGUUGGUGAGGGAUAACCUGCCGAAAGGCGGGCUAAUACCACAUAAGUUCUCUUGGGGUUCGCCCUGGGAGAGGAAAGCAGGGCAACUUGCGUCGACGGAUCGAUCUGCGUCCCAUCAGCUAGUUGGUGAGGUAACGGCUCACCAAGGCGACGACGGGUAGCUGGUCUGAGAGGAUGAUCAGCCACACUGGGACUGAGACACGGCCCAGACUCCUACGGGAGGCAGCAGUGGGGAGUAUUGGUCAAUGGGCGCAAGCCUGAACCAGCAAUGCCGCGUGAGUGAUGAAGGCCUUCGGGUUGUAAAGCUCUGUCGGGAGGGACGAAAAAGCCUGGGUAACGCCAGGACUUGACGGUACCUUCAAAGGAAGCACCGGCUAACUCUGUGCCAGCAGCCGCGGUAAUACAGAGGGUGCAAGCGUUGUUCGGAAUUACUGGGCGUAAAGCGCGUGUAGGUGGUUUCAUCAGUCGGACGUGAAAGCCCUCGGCUCAACCGAGGAAGAGCAUCCGAUACUGUGGGACUUGAGUGUCGGAGGGGAUGGUGGAAUUCCCGGUGUAGAGGUGAAAUUCGUAGAUAUCGGGAGGAACACCUGUGGCGAAGGCGACCAUCUGGACGACAACUGACACUGAGACGCGAAAGCGUGGGUAGCAAACAGGAUUAGAUACCCUGGUAGUCCACGCUGUAAACGAUGAGUGCUAGA
rnacentral:rRNA from 1 species